CAUGUUCACUAACGAAGUAGAGAUACAUUUAGGUGCCCGUAAGGGAAAGUGAACACAGGUGCUGCAUGGCUGUCGUCAGCUCGUGUCGUGAGAUGUUGGGUUAAGUCCCGCAACGAGCGCAACCCUUGUCUUUAGUUGCUACGCAAGAGCACUCUAAAGAGACUGCCGGUGACAAACCGGAGGAAGGUGGGGAUGACGUCAAGUCCUCAUGGCCCUUAUGGGUAGGGCUUCACACGUCAUACAAUGGUGCGUACAGAGGGUUGCCAACCCGCGAGGGGGAGCUAAUCUCUUAAAACGCAUCGUAGUCCGGAUCGUAGUCUGCAACUCGACUACGUGAAGCUGGAAUCGCUAGUAAUCGCGGAUCAGCAUGUCGCGGUGAAUACGUUCCCGGGUCUUGUACACACCGCCCGUCACACCAUGGGAGUGGGUUUUGCCAGAAGCAGUUAGCCUAACCGCAAGGGUGGGCGAUUGCCACCGUCAGGGUUCAUGAACUGGGGUGAAGUCGUAACAAGGUA
rnacentral:rRNA from 1 species